AACCUACCUAUCAGAGGGGAAUAACCCGGCGAAAGUCGGACUAAUACCGCAUAAAACAGGGGCACCGCAUGGUGAUAUUUGUUAAAGAAAUUCGCUGAUAGAUGGGCAUGCGUUCCAUUAGGUAGUUGGUGAGGUAACGGCUCACCAAGCCGACGAUGGAUAGGGGAACUGAGAGGUUGGUCCCCCACGCUGGUACUGAGACACGGACCAGACUCCUACGGGAGGCAGCAGUGAGGAAUAUUGGUCAAUGGGCGAGAGCCUGAACCAGCCAAGUCGCGUGAAGGAAGAAGGAUCUAUGGUUCGUAAACUUCUUUUGCAGGGGAAUAAAGUGCAGGACGUGUCCUGUUUUGUAUGUACCCUGAGAAUAAGGAUCGGCUAACUCCGUGCCAGCAGCCGCGGUAAUACGGAGGAUCCGAGCGUUAUCCGGAUUUAUUGGGUUUAAAGGGUGCGUAGGUGGUUUGAUAAGUCAGCGGUGAAAGUUUGCAGCUUAACUGUAAAAAUGCCGUUGAAACUGUCGGACUUGAGUGUAAAUGAGGUAGGCGGAAUGCGUGGUGUAGCGGUGAAAUGCAUAGAUAUCACGAAGAACUCCGAUUG
rnacentral:rRNA from 1 species